rnacentral:rRNA from 1 species
UACGUAGGGUGCAAGCGUUGUCCGGAAUUAUUGGGCGUAAAGAGCUCGUAGGCGGUUCGUCGCGUCGGCUGUGAAAUCCCGAGGCUCAACCUCGGGUCUGCAGUCGAUACGGGCGGACUGGAGUUCGGCAGGGGAGACUGGAAUUCCUGGUGUAGCGGUGAAAUGCGCAGAUAUCAGGAGGAACACCGGUGGCGAAGGCGGGACUCUGGGCCGAUACUGACGCUGAGGAGCGACAGCGUGGGGAGCAAACAGG